rnacentral:misc_RNA from 1 species
AUAUUUAUCCUAUUACUUUCUAUAUAGCAUCUUCCUUGUUCAUAUAUUUACCUUCCAUUUAAUCUUUUUCAAAGGCCAUCAUGGGUGUUUUGACUUUUGAGAGGGAAAUGGCUGCCGCUAUCCCCCCAACCAAGAUGUUCAAGGUCUUUGUCCUUGAAGCUGACACUGCUAUCCCUAAGAUUCUGCCUCAGGUCGUUAAGAAUGUGGAGAUUAUUGAAGGAAAUGGAGGGCCUGGAACCAUUAAGAAGACUUCCUUUGCAGAAGGUAGGGAAGUGAAGUAUAUUAAGACCCAGAUUGAUGCAACAGACAAAGACAAUUUCACGCACUGCUACAGUGCUAUCGGAGGCGAUCCAUGGAUGGACGCACUGGAGAAAGUUUCCUAUGAGAUCAAAAUGGUGUCUUCUUCUGAUGGAGGAUCCAUUAUCAAGACCACCACCAAAUACUACCCAAAGGAAAACGGUGAGAUCAAUGAAGACCAGAUCAAGAUUGGAGCAGAGAAGGGCCUGGCAUUGUUUAAGGCUGUUGAAGCUUAUCUCUUGGCAAAUCCUGAUGCUUAUAACUAAUUAAUUAAAAUUGUGUUAUUAUUUGGAUGGCUGGCGAAGCCACUUUUGGCUCGAUAAUAAAAGAUUGUAAUCGUGUUCUUUGGUUUCUCUACCAGUGGAUUAAGGAGUAUAAUUAAUCCCUAAUUAAUUAAGCUCAUAAUAAAUAAACAAGAAUUUUCUUUCAGAAAUGUUGGAAUGUACUUCUUCAUAUUUUCAUCGUU